AGAGUUUGAUCAUGGCUCAGGACGAACGCUGGCGGCGUGCUUAACACAUGCAAGUGGAGCGACGAACCGGGCUUCGGCCCGGGGCAAAGCCGCGAACGGGUGAGUAUCACGUGGGUAACCUGCCCCAAUGACCGGGACAACCCGAGGAAACUCGGGCUAAUACCGGAUGUGCUCCUCGCACACCAGUGCGAGGAGGAAAGGAAGCUUCGGCCUCCGCAUCGGGAUGGGCCCGCGGCCCAUUAGCUUGUUGGUGAGGUAAAAGCUCACCAAGGCGACGAUGGGUAGCUGGUCUGAGAGGACGAUCAGCCACACUGGGACUGAGACACGGCCCAGACUCCUACGGGAGGCAGCAGUGGGGAAUCUUGCGCAAUGCGCGAAAGCGUGACGCAGCAACGCCGCGUGAGGGAAGAAGGCCUUCGGGUUGUAAACCUCUUUCAGGAGGGACGAAGGUUCAGGCGCGAAUAGCGUCCUGGACUGACGGUACCUCCAGAAGAAGCCCCGGCUAACUACGUGCCAGCAGCCGCGGUA
rnacentral:rRNA from 1 species